rnacentral:rRNA from 1 species
CCUACGGGAGGCAGCAGUGAGGAAUAUUGGUCAAUGGACGCGAGUCUGAACCAGCCAAGUAGCGUGAAGGAUGACUGCCCUACGGGUUGUAAACUUCUUUUAUAUGGGAAUAAAAUGUUCCACGUGUGGGUUUUUGUAUGUACCUUAUGAAUAAGGAUCGGCUAACUCCGUGCCAGCAGCCGCGGUAAUACGGAGGAUCCGAGCGUUAUCCGGAUUUAUUGGGUUUAAAGGGAGCGUAGGUGGAUUGUUAAGUCAGUUGUGAAAGUUUGCGGCUCAACCGUAAAAUUGCAGUUGAUACUGGCAGUCUUGAGUACAGUAGAGGUGGGCGGAAUUCGUGGUGUAGCGGUGAAAUGCUUAGAUAUCACGAAGAACUCCGAUUGCGAAGGCAGCUCACUGAACUGCAACUGACACUGAGGCUCGAAAGUGUGGGUAUCAAACAGGAUUAGAUACCCUUGUAGUC